AGAGUUUGAUCCUGGCUCAGAAUCAACGCUGGCGGCGUGCCUCAGACAUGCAAGUCGAACGAUUAAAGCUCUCUUCGGAGAGUGUAUAGAGUGGCGCACGGGUGAGUAACACGUAAGUAAUCUACCUUCGAGUGGGGAAUAACGUCCGGAAACGGACGCUAAUACCGCAUAAUGCAGCGGCAUCGUAAGAUGACAGUUGUUAAAGAUUUAUCGCUUGAAGAGGAGCUUGCGGCAGAUUAGCUAGUUGGUAAGGUAAUGGCUUACCAAGGCUACGAUCUGUAACCGGUCUUAGAGGACGGUCGGUCACACUGACACUGAAUAACGGGUCAGACUCCUACGGGAGGCAGCAGUCGGGAAUUUUGGGCAAUGGGCGAAAGCCUGACCCAGCAACGCCGCGUGAAGGAUGAAGUAUUUCGGUAUGUAAACUUCGAAAGAAUAGGAAGAAUAAAUGACGGUACUAUUAUAAG
rnacentral:rRNA from 1 species